GGUGGAGUCCCUAACCCCCAUCCCAGCUCUGAGCUUAUACACUGACACUUUUAAAAUGUGUCAUCACCUUUGCCCACAAGUUUUCCUUAAUAGCUUCAAUAUAACUACCUAUAUGUGCUUAACUGAAAGCAACACAGUAUGUGCAAAUAUUUCUGAGCCUGCCAGAGAGGCCAGCCUCAGUGUGAGCAUCAGCCCCCGGCUCAGGACUUGGGGACUGAGUAGUGUAUAUGUUUGUGCAGGUCGAAACAGUGGGGCCUGGGAAACCAAGUCACCUCCACCAGCUGCACCAUCCCCGUUGCCACGGGCCGGGAAAAAACCAACGACACCACUGAAGACAACUCCAGUUGCCUCUCAACAGAAUGCUUCAAGUGUUUGUGAAGGAUUUACAGAAGGGGGAAACCCAACUGUGGAUGGGCCCCUACCCAGCUUUUCAUCUAAUUCCACUAUUUCAGAACAGGAAGCUGGCGUUCUCUGCAAGCCAUGGUAUGCUGGAGCCUGUGAUCGAAAGUCUGCUGAAGAGGCAUUGCACAGAUCAAACAAGGAUGGAUCAUUUCUUAUUCGGAAAAGCUCUGGCCAUGAUUCCAAACAACCAUAUACACUAGUUGUAUUCUUUAAUAAGCGAGUAUAUAAUAUUCCUGUGCGAUUUAUUGAAGCAACAAAACAAUAUGCCUUGGGCAGAAAGAAAAAUGGUGAAGAGGUCAGUGAUUUCUUUUUAAAUUCAAUUCUAUAACUAUGCAUUGAGUAUAAUGACAUCAAAUACUGUAUUAGAUGCUAGAGAUGAGGAGAAAGGAUACAAAAGUACUUGUUCUAAUGCUUGCAUAAAUGUCAUAGAGAACAAGAUAAAAUACUAUAUUUAGGCAGUAUAUCCUAUAAGAACACAGAAAAGGAAAAAGUCAUGUGAUGUACAUGCUAGUCCUUUCAUUCAGUUAUUUAAUGAGGUCAGUCUGACCCAAGAUUUUAGUCCAGGGGCAAAUAUAAAUCAAGGUUGAAAUGUCAAGUUGAAUUAAGGUUGUAAGAAUUAGGGUCAAGUUCCAGACCUCCAAAGUCAAGACCUAAAAUCUCAACUCAAGUACCAAGGUAGGUUACCAGGGAAGGAUCCAGAAGAGAUGCAGAAACUUGAGUUAAAACAUUAGACUAUAGCCCUUGUACCAGAAUGAGCUUAUGGGCCUG
rnacentral:lncRNA from 1 species